rnacentral:rRNA from 1 species
AUUGAGCGCUAGCGGGAUGCUUUACACAUGCAAGUCGAACGGCAGCGCGGACUUCGGUCUGGCGGCGAGUGGCGAACGGGUGAGUAAUGUAUCGGAACGUGCCCAGUAGCGGGGGAUAACUACGCGAAAGCGUAGCUAAUACCGCAUACGCCCUACGGGGGAAAGCAGGGGAUCGUAAGACCUUGCACUCUUGGAGCGGCCGAUAUCGGAUUAGCUAGUUGGUGAGGUAACGGCUCACCAAGGCGACGAUCCGUAGCUGGUUUGAGAGGACGACCAGCCACACUGGGACUGAGACACGGCCCAGACUCCUACGGGAGGCAGCAGUGGGGAAUUUUGGACAAUGGGGGCAACCCUGAUCCAGCCAUCCCGCGUGUGCGAUGAAGGCCUUCGGGUUGUAAAGCACUUUUGGCAGGAAAGAAACGUCGCGGGCUAAUACCCCGUGGAACUGACGGUACCUGCAGAAUAAGCACCGGCUAACUACGUG